UAGUGCUUAGCUGCACGCUCAUCAGAUACCACAAAGGGUGUUGCUACCCACUGAU
rnacentral:rRNA from 11 species